UACGGAGGGUGCGAGCGUUGUCCGGAAUCACUGGGCGUAAAGGGCGCGUAGGCGGCGCGGGCAGUCAACGGUGAAAGCUUGGGGCUCAACCCCGAGUCGGCCGUCGAUACUCCCGUGCUUGAGCACUGUAGAGGCAGGUGGAAUUCCGGGUGUAGCGGUGGAAUGCGUAGAGAUCCGGAAGAACACCGGUGGCGAAGGCGGCCUGCUGGGCAGUAGCUGACGCUGAUGCGCGACAGCGUGGGGAGCAAACAGG
rnacentral:rRNA from 1 species